rnacentral:rRNA from 1 species
UGCGUAGGCGGAAUGGUAAGUCAGGGUGAAAGUUUGCGGCUCAACCGUAAAAUUGCCUUUGAUACUGUCAUUCUUGAGUACAUUUGAGGUAGGCGGAAUGUGGCGUGUAGCGGUGAAAUGCUUAGAUAUGCCACAGAACACCGAUUGCGAAGGCAGCUUACUAAACUGUAACUGACGCUGAUGCACGAAAGCGUGGGGAUCGAAACA